CCAAAAUUUGACUUCAAGUUUUAACGCCAUUAGAUAUUAUGAAUGUUCUUAGUUUCUAUUUAGAUUCAUUAAUACUGAAUUGAAAUUGGUAGUUCAUAUAUUGUAUAAACCAUCACUGAGCAUAGAUUAGCUAUUAGGGAUUAUCAUUAUAUUAGGGGAUUUAUCCAUUUAGAUCUAUCACCAAAUAUUAGAUGGUAUUCUAAACAACCUACAAAU